UGACAAGCCCAUAAGAGAUGCUACAAGGGAUGCAGAUUUUACUAUGGCGGUAACAUUGUACUACAAACCGCCAAGGUGCUCGGAAGUCUCCAGUCCCGUUCAAUAGUGGAGCUUAUUGCCAUGGAGCAAAUCAGGAGCCUUACAGCAUGUGGGAAGUUGGCACAGACUCUGGAAGAGUUAAUUGAGAGGAGUGAUAGAUGGCUGAGCUGUAGCAACAAAACCGCAACUCCAAGCACUCCAAGGGUGCUCGAGGGAAGCGGGCCACCCAGUCAUAUUCCAGAUCCAGUGGUGCUCAGUGGAAGAACGACUGAAUCUGCAAGUUCAAAUCAACAGGGGUGUGGUUAUCACUGCUGAUCUUCUGGAGUGCUGAAACACAGGGACCACUGCUCAGAAACUUACCAACGACCUGCUGCGGAGUCUGUACGACAGAAACUGUCUGGCUUCUCACUCUGUCUCAGCCAUUGUUAACAGCAAGCGAGGGAUGCCUAAACCGACUCCUCCUGCUCAUGAGAUCCAGGCCGUUCUGAGUAUGUAAUGAUGGAUCAGACAGUGAGGAAAUUGUGUGCCAUUUGUUACAAAUACAUCACUGUGGGUGUCCUCUCGUUAGUCUAAUCUUAAGUUUGAAAAUGCAUUCUGUUCCAUUCCAUUAACUGCAAUCAAGCCAUUGUAAAGUUUCUGAUUAAUUGUGGUCAGAAGUUUGAAUUUUUGGUCACCAGUCAAACUUUCUCAAUAGGGAUAGUGCAGCAGUUCUUCCAUGGGAAGACAGAUUCGGAGAUAAAGGGCUACAUUCGACAAAAGCUUCAGAAUGAGGCCAAGAGACACCCAGCUGAUGAUCCAUUGGUGGGCUCUUUUGAUGAAGCGGGAACAAUGGUUGAGCACUGAGUUUUGCCUUGUGUACUGACACUUUAUCCAACAAAUGGCAGGACAUUCCCAAUGAAUUUUGUUUGUUAUACAGAAACAAACAAAAACCACUAUUGAAGACGAUGGUAGUAGUUUCUCCUCUAUGUAUUUGAAAGGCUUCUGUCUAAGCUAUCGAAUAUAUGACCAAUUAUGUGUGUAUGAUUUUAUCGUGUUGAUUACACAAAACUGUGACUUUAUAUUGUUUUGAUAUUGCAAAAUGAGCAUAAUUAGUGAUACAUCGAGGACAUGUGGGUGAAUGAGUAACUUCAGUGUACUCCCAGUUUCACUGCCAGAAGUUAUUUCACACUUAUGAAAUCAUACACUGUUUGUUGUGCACCAAAACUUCAAAUGAAGUAGACUAAAGCUGUGAACACAGUGGCAGAUGGUAAAGCAUUGCUCUCCUGUAAAAUUACAUGAAUGUCACUUUGUGGGGGGUUACACUGUGAUUGAUGUUGUCAGACUUGUGGUAUUUUUGUUGAUCACAUGUUGAAAGUGGAAUGUGAAUAUAUUUUCUG